rnacentral:lncRNA from 1 species
GCUUAAGCUGAUAGUAGCAGCACCUUUUUACCCCUUAUAGCCCAGGAACCGCUGCACACGGUAACGUCUCCACGUUGGGUGCCCCUGUGGGGCCAGGGCACAUUCGGCACUUUCACAUUUUGUUGGCCAUUAAAUCCCUUUCCUCCCCGAGGCUCGAACCCGUGACCUCGGCUCUGAUACCAUUAGGGCGAUACCAUUCUACC